CACUCUGCUUAUUAAUUCAUUUUUCUUAAUUACUAGACCAUAAUCUCGACCUAGUGGAGAAGGACUAUACUGUGAACACAGUUGCUGGGGCGUUAAAAAGUUUCUUCUCAGAGCUGCCAGAGCCUCUGAUUCCUUAUAGCUCACAGGUGGAGCUGGUGGAAGCUUUCAAAAUUAAUGACAGAGAACAGAGGCUGCACACCAUGAAGGACGUGUUAAGGCGAUUUCCCAGGGAAAAUUAUGAUGUCUACAAACAUGUUAUGAGCCAUCUAAACAAGGUUAGUCAGUGGAACAGAGUCAACUUAAUGACCAGUGAAAAUCUAUCCAUCUGUUUUUGGCCAACACUGAUGCGGCCAGACUUCACUUCUAUGGAUGCCCUGACAGCUACGGCAACCUACAAGACAAUCAUUGAGACAUUUAUUCAUCAGUGUGCUUUCUUCUUUUACAACCAGCCUCCUGCUGAGUCACCCACUGGCCUCUAUGCACCCUCUGGACCACUGGUGCCCUCUGGAUUGCCCCCAUCUCCCACAGCUGCCCCUAAUUAUUGCCCCCCAACCCAACAUUUUACCUCCCUUUUGCACUCGCCCCCACAUUCUCCGCCUCAGAGUCCACGCACAUCCCCUGCAGAACCACAAACACUAUGAGCGUGGGGAGAAAGUGGUCUGUGGUUUAUUAAACUCCAUUCACAAACAUAGACUUGUGUAAUGCAUGCUUACACAGCUACAUAUACAUAUUCUACACAAUGCCUUUAACAUGUAGCUUGUUUAGGUCAGUGCUCUAUGUGAAAAAAAGUGUGCUGGGUUCUCAGUACUUCUAUUUGGGGAAGAUUUUGGGAUUUACAUCUACCACUAUGGACAUAAAAAAACAACACGCACAGCAGAUGAAUGUCUGUGCGCUUAUGAACUGUACAAUCUGGGUAACUAACAAAGGUGUCGUUUUCGACAUGACAACACUGAUGUAGUUUAUUACAGAAGGGGAUGUUCUUCAUUUUCAGUGUAGAUAAAUGCUCUUGUCAGAAAGGAUAUGAACCGUUUGAAGGACUUUAAGAUUUAAGACUGCUCUGCCUCCCCUUUCUCUUCUUUUUUUAUCUGCUUGCCCUCUACAGUAUAUAAAACUCUAGUAGGACACUGUAGUGAGGAAAAAUCAUGAAGCACUUAUACAUUAUCAAGGAUUUCAUCUAAAAAUGUUUUGAAAGAAAAAAGUAGAAUUUUUUUUUCAAAGAUGAAUGAGAUCACUUUAGCUGCAACCAUAUUUACUACUUUGCCUGGCUCUUGUGUCCCACAUUAACAUCCAGUGACAGCCGGUGACUUCUUUUCCAAGGGGCACGAAUUCAAAAUAUGGGUUUGGAGUGUUGUGUAUGGCUCGUCAUGUCAAAAUAGGUGAUGCGACAUGUUAACAAUGUGCAUCAUGCGUCUUGUCAAAACACAUGCCUGCUGCACAUGCAUCAAAAGGAUUUAUGAUUAAAGAGUUUACAAAAUACUCGCAAGACACUUACUUGACACUAAACUCUGAUUACACAUGAGAUUAAGUGAUUAAGUAUCUGGCAAAUGUGAGCGCCUUUUUUAUCAUAAACCUCUUUGAAGCGUAUGCAGCAAGUUUUUUGACAUGUUGCAUGAUGCACACAGGUUCACAUGAUGCAACGAACACGCAUUUUGAUGUGACGGGCUAAAUACAUGCUGUGAUGAGCUUUGCAUCACGCACCCUCGAAAAAUAACUCACAGGCCGCAACUGUUGCCAUCAUUGAUUCAUAUUAAGGAAAUAUACAAAUAUACCAUGGUUUUAGAGGAUGUAUUGCUCCUCGCUUCCAAGACUUGAAGUUCUGUUACCUGAUAGGUCCAAAGGAUUUGUUUUGCCAAGUGGCUCCUGUGGAUCUUUACUCAUAAAUUCAGCUAAUGGAGAGUACAUGCCCUUUUCUUUUGAAGUCUGUAAUUUAAUUGGUGAUAUCACUUGGGAAUUCUCUUCAGUUAGCACUGGUGAGGGGCUUGAGAUCGCUGGGUUUACGAAUUUUCUCGGAUCCUUAAACUAUAGCCUUUGAAAUGACCAAUUCAAAACCCUCACACCUUAAUUUUGGACUCAGUUAAGCAUAUAUAUGUAAAUAAGGCCUUGAAGGCCUUUCAUUGAUGCCCAGUCUGACAGUUUUUACCUUAUAAUCUAAAGCACUUUUUGUUUUUAUAUAGACCUGUAUUGUGCAACACUGAAUAAUUAUUGGUUAAACUUGUGGCCACCGUGUUAGAAAGGUCAUUGAACUUUUUCAUGGUGAAUGUAGAGUGCGAAGACGCACAUUAAGAUUUAAGUCCUAGACUUAAUUUCACUCUAAAUGAUUUGUUGUGCAUUAGUAUGUCUUUGUCUGCUGUUUCGUAUGUAUUUCAUGGACCUUUUGUACAGCUUGAAGUUUGGCUGACGUGGACCUUAAAGUCAUAUCACAAUUUUUAUUGUCAUCUUCAUGUAACUGAAUCAGAAGGACUGCUUUUUCCAUCCCAUUUCUUCUGGACAAAUCCAUGAUGUAUAAAGAUGCAAUGGCUUAUUGUGUGUAGAUUGUAUGUAUAUUACCUUUUUCUCUCGAAAGUGAAGCGUUUGAAAUGAAGGAAAUUAUUCCUCAAUAUGUUUGCCGUGAAAUACCACUUCCUGUUUUUAUACAGCCAAGGUACAAAAGCUGAAGUACCAAAGUAGUCCAAUGUUGGCUGAUGAGGGUUCAACACCGGUUAUAAAAAUGUUAAUGACUGGUUUGGGGAUGUGCAUGCCAGCUCGGAUUCUUGACAAAAAGGCAUAUGGUGAGCAACCCAUAAUGAAUGAUUUAACUAUUCUUUAUCCUUUUGAUUCUGUGUAUCUGCUGCUUUUUGCCAGGAUGAACAAAUCUAAAGUGACCCGGGUAUUACUUGAAGUAUACGAUUGUUCUUCGUGUGAUUUCCAGCAAACCAUUAGAAUUAGUAACUAUAGAGCUCCAGCUGACGUCACACAGCCUAAACUCCGCCUUUUUGGCAGGUAAUCGUAGAGCAGUUAAGUGCUGUAUCAUUGGUAUCGAUAAUGAUUGAACCAAA